UACAGAGGUGGCAAGCGUUGUUCGGAAUUACUGGGCGUAAAGGGCUCGUAGGUGGCCAACUAAGUCAGACGUGAAAUCCCUCGGCUUAACCUGGGAACUGCGUCUGAUACUGGACGGCUGGAGUUUGGGAGAGGGAUGUAGAAUUCCAGGUGUAGCGGUGAAAUGCGUAGAUAUACUGGAGGAACACCCGUGGCGAAGGCGGCUCUCUCGGGAGCGGUACGUGACGCGUGAGACGACGAAAAAGCCGGU
rnacentral:rRNA from 1 species